UUCCAAUUGCCCAUUUAUUAAUUAUAUUAUUUCUAUAGUUCUUGAAUGAGGUUUCUACAUAAUGAUGCCCUUUUGUCAUGUCAUUCUUGCCGUGUCAGCUUAAAACUCAUGUGCCUACUUCUAUUUCCCUUAUUUUCAUUUUGAAUAUCUAUUUAUUUGCUUCUGUAUGUAUGAGAAUUUUAUCUUGCAAUUGUCUUUUGGAGUUUAAUUAUGAUUUUCUUUUUCUCUAGGAGCUUUUGAAUUAUAUUUAUUUUCAAAAUUUUUGUUUGUGUGUAUUUUUUCAUCUGUUCCAGAAAUUUGCAGGGAUGAGAGGGGUUUAUCGAAUUGGUUUCUCCUUAACACUUUGACAGCUCUUUAAUUGCAUCUAAAUUAUCAAAGUGAGGUUCUUGAAUUGCUUUGGUGAAACCUUAUGCCUAAGCUCUAAAGAACCAAAAUAUACGGUGGAAUUUCAUUCUAAAGAUUCACCCUUUUCGGGCUCCAUCAGGACCUGGACAUUCUAGUAACGAAUUCUCAUAAUGAAGACAAGGGUUUUAUGUGUUUGGAUGGGGAUGUUUUUGAUGUGCCAAUUAGGAAGGAUAUUAUUCAUCGUGUUGUGAGAUGGCAGCUAGCAAAAUGACAGCAGGUAUGUGCACGAUUCUUUUGAAUCCCAAAUUUUCGAUUAUAGAGCAUACAUAUUGGCGAGCAAGAACCUGUUUUACUCUGUGUUUCCCGUUCCUAAGAGUCAUUUAUCAUUUUCCAUUCCUCAUCUUGCUGUCAAUUGCUUCUCUGGGAAACAAAGAGACUUACUGGGGAAAAAAGAGGAAUCGGGAUGAUCAUUUUGAGGCAUAUGAAGAUCACAGAAACUCAUAUGCCUUUGGGGGAAAAAUCGCCUUGCUAAAGAAAAUUGUUGCAGACAAACAAUGAUCUAAGGCGGAUCAGUUAAAUCAAUCAGGGCCUCCUAUUCUCCAUUCUCCUACCUGUUCACUACCUUUAUGCUUGUUUCCCUGAUUCUACAAGCUUUGUAAAUUAUAGUUACUUGCCAAGGCAGUAGAGGAUUCAAAUGGUGUUGUUGGCCUACUCUUGAUGAAUGUUGCAGGGAACCCAUUCAACCAAAAUCAUUAGUGAAGUUAUUAAGACUGGUAGAAAACCGUUAAGGCAAAAGGGAACUAGGCGAGCAAGGCCUGGAACACUGCGUGGUGCUCAGGUUCUACUUGUGUAUAUUGCUUUGAUGUAAAGAGUAUAUCUUUCUGCUAAGUAAUUUUGAAUCAUUUUUUAGGACAAAAGUUUCCUGUAAAUGUAAAAUAUCCUACAUAAUCCCCUUCUCUUGAAGUUCCAAUCUUUCAAAAUUGCCAGGUUCACAAUUACCUUGGUGGAACUUGUUCAGGGAUCUAAAUGAAGCAAGUAUUAUCAUUAUGUUUCUUCUUGACCGUAGAGAGAGGAGAUAUAUCAUGAAGAUCUUGUCAGUUUGCAAUACAUACAUGUUGAGUCAAGGGUGCAGGCAUAAGUUGUAAUUAUGCAUGGUUAAAAUGUUAGUACUUGAUUUCCUACCCACAAGUCGCAUCAAUAGAAAGAGAAGGGAGUUAAUUUCAGCAGGUAUAGACGUAGAAGUGGAAAAAGGGGACCCUGGAAGUUUAUAGAGUGAAAUAUAUUGCCUUAGCUACAACAUACAAUUGCACAGGAGGUGAUUGAAGGCAACUUUUUUCUUUAAUUAAGUUCAUGGCUAACACACCCAUGUUUGAGUGAAGUUUCAAGAUACCAUAAGAUUGAAGGUGACUUUUUCACAAUUUGGAGAUAUCAGCCGAUGUGCAUAUUUGCCAUCGUGGGAUUUUUAUGUCUAAUUUUGUUUGUGUUCUUUUGGCAUAGGGAAUAAUAACUGUACAUCUCAUGAAGUAUUCUUGUUUCUUAGUUGUAAUGUAAAGUAAAGCUGCAUUAGAAUCAAAAUCGUUGGGCCCGCAAGCGCGGGCAAGAGUCAUCUAGUAUUUUUAUAAAUAUCUUUGGACCUGA